rnacentral:rRNA from 1 species
UACGAAGGGUGCGAGCGUUGUUCGGAAUUACUGGGCGUAAAGCGCACGUAGGCGGCUUUGUAAGUUAGAGGUGAAAGCCCGGAGCUCAACUCCGGAACUGCCUUUAAGACUGCAUCGCUUGAACGUCGGAGAGGUAAGUGGAAUUCCGAGUGUAGAGGUGAAAUUCGUAGAUAUUCGGAAGAACACCAGUGGCGAAGGCGACUUACUGGACGACUGUUGACGCUGAGGUGCGAAAGCGUGGGGAGCAAACAGG